UACGUAGGGGGCAAGCGUUGUCCGGAAUUAUUGGGCGUAAAGCGCGCGCAGGCGGCGAUUUAAGUCUGGUGUUUAAACCUUGGGCUCAACCUGGGGUCGCACUGGAAACUGGGUCGCUUGAGUACAGAAGAGGAAAGUGGAAUUCCACGUGUAGCGGUGAAAUGCGUAGAUAUGUGGAGGAACACCAGUGGCGAAGGCGACUUUCUGGGCUGUAACUGACGCUGAGGCGCGAAAGCGUGGGGAGCAAACA
rnacentral:rRNA from 1 species